rnacentral:lncRNA from 1 species
GAUAUGGAGAAAUUCCAGCAACCUAAGGUAUUCACUCAUGUUCCUGACACCAAGAAGACCUAGCUGCCAGCACAUAUUGAACUAUUACUUUGGUGACUAAGGUCACUUGUGAGAUAGGGAUGUGAGAUUUCAUUUGUUUAUUUUAUCUGAGAUAACUUUGUGACUAAGGUCACUUGUUGAACUAUAGUUUGGUGUUCGUGAUGAAUGUAAUAAAUAUUUUGAUGAAUGACUUGGGAACCUGUUGAUUUGGCCAUGAAUGCAAUAUAUUGUUUGACCUGCAUAUGUUAAUGUGGAUUGUUUGAUGUGUGGG